AACGAACGCUGGCGGCAUGCCUAACACAUGCAAGUCGAACGAGACCUUCGGGUCUAGUGGCGCACGGGUGCGUAACGCGUGGGAACCUGCCCUUAGGUUCGGAAUAACCCCCCGAAAGGGGUGCUAAUACCGGAUAAUGUCUUCGGACCAAAGAUUUAUCGCCUUUGGAUGGGCCCGCGUUGGAUUAGCUAGUUGGUAGGGUAAAAGCCUACCAAGGCGACGAUCCAUAGCUGGUCUGAGAGGAUGAUAAGCCACACUGGGACUGAGACACGGCCCAGACUCCUACGGGAGGCAGCAGUGGGGAAUAUUGGACAAUGGGCGAAAGCCUGAUCCAGCAAUGCCGCGUGAGUGAUGAAGGCCUUAGGGUUGUAAAGCUCUUUUACCCGGGAUGAUAAUGACAGUACCGGGAGAAUAAGCUCCGGCUAACUCCGUG
rnacentral:rRNA from 1 species